CUCCCAGCCAUGCUUCCUGUACAGCCUGUGGAACUAAAACUUCUUGGAAACAUAAAUCUAAAGAACCACAGAAUUGAACCUGGAGAUUCUGUCUAUUGGAAACAUUUCUUAAAAGACUCUCUCCAACCAGGAUACAAUGGGCCUUACCAGGUACUUCUCACUAAUCCUUGUACUGCUAAAUUAGAAGGCAUAGACUCCUGGAUUCACAUCUCACAUCUAAGGAAAGCCAAGCCUCCUGAAUAGACUGUUUCACCAGAGAGUAAUCUUCUACUUAAGAUAAGGUGAUGCCCAGUUGAGAAGAAGAUGGCAGCAGACAUGGUUGGGUGUCUCAAGACCUGGACCAGCCGUGUAAGAGUGCCUGCUUCCCUUAGAAAGUAUCCUGAGACCUCUCCAGCCACGUUACCUGAACAGCUGCAGAAACGUGAGCCAAUUAAACCUCUUUUCUUGUAAAUUACCCAGUCUCAGGUAGAGCUUCUUAGCAGUGCAAAAAUGGAUGAAUACAAAUAUGUAGCCUUUUGAAUCAGGCUCACUCAGCAAUAUGCAUUUAAAAUUCAUCCACGUUGUUGAGUGGAUCAGUAGUUCUUCCUUUUUAUUGCUAAGUAAUAUUUCACUGUACAGAUACACCACAGGAUUUCCCAACUGAAGGAUAUGGAGAAGAGUAAUUGCAGCCACUUUGGUAAAUAAUCUAUCAUGUAUACUAAUUAACUGACUUAAACAGUUUUAUGUUCUUUCCUUGUACAAAAAGUCACACAAAUGUAGAGAAGAAAACAAAAUGAAUCCUAAGAUAGUCUUCACUUAGCUUCAACAAUUAUCAAGAUUCUUUCCAUCUAUCCCUUUUUACUUUAGUCUUUCUUGUUGAAAUAUAUUAAAGCAAAUCUUAGAUAUGAGAGUGAAAUAUGUAGAGAUUAUUCCAUUUGACUCUCCAAAAGUUAUGAAUGUUUUUCAUAUAACUUUAAUGUAUCAGUAUUUUUUUCUAUAAAAGGCCAAAUAAUAACUGCUUUUGGCUUUGUGAGCUCUGAGUUCUUUGUCAAAAUUACUGAACUUCUGCUGUUAUAAAAAGAAAGCAGCCUUAGACUACUCAUAAACAAACAAGCAUGACUGUAGUCUACCAAAACUUUAUUUGCUGAAACAGGCAGCAGACCCUAGUUUGACAAAUGCAAUCUAAUCUCCAGUCCAUGAUGAAAUUUUCCAGAUUGCUUCAAAAAUGUAUUUUACUGUUUUUUUCUCUCCAAACCUUGUUUGGAUUAUGUUUUUAAAUGAUUUUAAAGUUUCUAACAUAAAUAGCUUACAUACCCAUAUUUUUCAGUGCAUAUUAAUUCUGCUAUCACUAGAAUUUCUUCCUUGAAAAAGAACUAUUUUAUAAAAUAAGCAAUAUGUAUUUAACACUGAGAAAAUUAGAAAAAAAAACAAUAAGCAAAAGGUAAGUCCUUCAUAAUCCUAUCACCCAGAAAUAACCAUUGUAAAUAUUUUGGUGUAUGUACUUCACUUUUUUUUUUUUUUUUU